CUGCUGAGAAAUUACAACCAGUUCAUGAGGGCCCUUAGAAGACGUUUUGAAGAUCAUUUAGCUGAACGAAAGGCGAGACUCAGAAUGAAGAGCAUUCAGCAGGGCCGGAGGCCGGUGGCAGAGUAUAUCCAAGAGUUUCGUGAACUGGCACCUUAUAUGACAGGCUGGUCAGAAAUGGCGCUUUUGGAGAAACCAAUGGGGUACUCGAACAAUACCUUAGAUGUUACGUGAAUUACCAACAGGACAAUUGGGUAGACUUGUUGCCAUUUGCAGAAGUGGCGUAUAACAAUUCUGUGCAUAGUAGCACCGGAUUCACCCCUUUUAAGGUUGCAUCAGGCCAGGAUUUUGUACCCAUUCCCGAGUUACCUCAAGAGGAUCCUCAAAAUCCCUCUUUGAUAGACUGGAUAGAACAAUUAAGGAGCACCUGGACAGUGACUCGUAAGGCAUUAGAUGAGGCACACCGAGCUCAUAAGGCACAAGCCGAUAAGAAAAGGUCCCCAACUCACAUUUACAAAGUGGGGGAUAAAGUUUAUUUGUCUACCAAAUACUUACAAACCACCCAGAGGUCUAAAAAGCUGGGGCCUAAGUAUGUAGGACCAUUCCGUGUGAUCAGACUGAUAAAUCCAGUGACAGUUGAAUUAGAAUUACCAAAAACUUUGAGACGAAUACAUCCUGUAUUUCAUGUUAGUUUAUUGAAACCUGAACACUCAUCUCCCCUAAGGGUUGAUCAUAGCAACCCUCCAAUUCCCAUCCUAGUAGAAGGGGAGCAACAUUUUGAGGUUAAGGAAAUCUUGGACUCUAGAAAACACCAUGGUAAAAUCCAAUAUCUGAUUGCCUGGAAACAUUUUCCACUAUCUCAGGCUGAAUGGGUAAAUAAACGGGAUGUCCGAGCUCCCAAGAAAGUUCAACAGUUCUAUGCCAAAUACCCUGAUAAACCUUGAUCAUUGUAUAUA